rnacentral:tRNA from 1 species
UGGCUCAGGGGUAGAGUGUUUGCCUCACAUGCAUGAGGCCUGGGGUUCAAUUCCUCA